UACGAAGGGGGCUAGCGUUGCUCGGAAUCACUGGGCGUAAAGGGUGCGUAGGCGGGUCUUUAAGUCGAGUGUGAAAGCCCCCGGCUCAACUGGGGAGGGUCAUUCGAUACUGAUCGACUCGAAGGCAGGAGAGGGAAGCGGAAUUCCCGGUGUAGUGGUGAAAUGCGUAGAUAUCGGGAGGAACACCAGUGGCGAAGGCGGCUUCCUGGCCUGUUCUUGACGCUGAGGCGCGAAAGCUAGGGGAGCAAACGGG
rnacentral:rRNA from 1 species